rnacentral:rRNA from 1 species
UGGCGGCGCGCCUAACACAUGCAAGUCGAACGAGCGUGAGAGAGCUUGCUUUCUCGAGCGAGUGGCGAACGGGUGAGUAACGCGUGAGGAACCUGCCUCAAAGAGGGGGACAACAGUUGGAAACGACUGCUAAUACCGCAUAAGCCCACGGCUCGGCAUCGAGCAGAGGGAAGAGGAGCAAUCCGCUUUGAGAUGGCCUCGCGUCCGAUUAGCUAGUUGGUGAGGUAACGGCCCACCAAGGCAACGAUCGGUAGCCGGACUGAGAGGUUGAACGGCCACUUUGGGACUGAGACACGGCCCAGACUCCUACGGGAGGCAGCAGUGGGGAAUAUUGCACAAUGGGGGAAACCCUGAUGCAGCGACGCCGCGUGGAGGAAGAAGGUCUUCGGAUUGUAAACUCCUGUUGUUGGGGAAGAUAAUGACGGUACCCAACAAGGAAGUGACGGCUAACUACGUGCCAGCAGCCGCGGUAAAACGUAGGUCACAAGCGUUGUCCGGAAUUACUGGGUGUAAAGGGAGCGCAGGCGGGAAGACAAGUUGGAAGUGAAAUCUAUGGGCUCAACCCAUAAACUGCUUUCAAAACUGUUUUUCUUGAGUAGUGCAGAGGUAGGCGGAAUUCCCGGUGUAGCGGUGGAAUGCGUAGAUAUCGGGAGGAACACCAGUGGCGAAGGCGGCCUACUGGGCACCAACUGACGCUGAGGCUCGAAAGUGUGGGUAGCAAACAGGAGGAGAUACCCUGGUAGUCCACACCGUAAACGCCCCCUAAAAGGUGUUGGAGGAUUGACCCCCUCCAGUGCCGCAGUUAACACAAUAAGUAAUCCACCCUGGGGAGUACGACCGCAAGGUUGAAACUCAAAGGAAUUGACGGGGGCCCGCACAAGCAGUGGAGUAUGUGGUUUAAUUCGACGCAACGCGAAGAACCUUACCAAGUCUUGACAUCCCUUGACAGGCAUAGAAAUAUGUAUUCUCUUCGGAGCAAGGAGACAGGUGGUGCAUGGUUGUCGUCAGCUCGUGUCGUGAGAUGUUGGGUUAAGUCCCGCAACGAGCGCAACCCUUAUGGUCAGUUACUACGCAAGAGGACUCUGGCCAGACUGCCGUUGACAAAACGGAGGAAGGUGGGGAUGACGUCAAAUCAUCAUGCCCUUUAUGACUUGGGCUACACACGUACUACAAUGGCGUUAAACAAAGAGAAGCAAGACCGCGAGGUGGAGCAAAACUCAGAAACAACGUCCCAGUUCGGACUGCAGGCUGCAACUCGCCUGCACGAAGUUGGAAUUACUAGUAAUCGUGGAUCAGCAUGCCACGGUGAAU